UAGAACUUCCCAAACAUGGACGCAUGCUCUGCAUUUCGUUUUGUCUUUAACCAUGAAUCGACUAAGAAGUAUGUUGGGCACAAAAGUUUUGCACAGGAAACACAAAGAAACAGUUAACUUUUAAGAAAUCUUCUUGAUGUGGUUGAGGAAAUACAGAUAGCACGGUUAGAAAUUAGAAAUAUGACACUUAUCUGCUUUCAUUCUCCAUCAGCUAAGCAGCUUGAUUUGCAGCUUGGUUUCAUUGAUUUUGACAGUGGUAUAAAGGUGACAGUGACUUGAUGUGACGUGUUUGAACUGG